rnacentral:rRNA from 1 species
GACGAACGCUGGCGGCGUGCUUAACACAUGCAAGUCGAACGGGAAGGCCCUGCUUUUGUGGGGUGCUCGAGUGGCGAACGGGUGAGUAACACGUGAGUAACCUGCCCUUGACUUUGGGAUAACUUCAGGAAACUGGGGCUAAUACCGGAUAGGAGCUCCUGCUGCAUGGUGGGGGUUGGAAAGUUUCGGCGGUUGGAGAUGGACUCGCGGCUUAUCAGCUUGUUGGUGGGGUAGUGGCUUACCAAGGCUUUGACGGGUAGCCGGCCUGAGAGGGUGACCGGCCACAUUGGGACUGAGAUACGGCCCAGACUCCUACGGGAGGCAGCAGUGGGGAAUAUUGCACAAUGGGCGGAAGCCUGAUGCAGCAACGCCGCGUGCGGGAUGACGGCCUUCGGGUUGUAAACCGCUUUCGCCUGUGACGAAGCGUGAGUGACGGUAAUGGGUAAAGAAGCACCGGCUAACUACGUG